rnacentral:rRNA from 1 species
UACGUAGGGUGCGAGCGUUAAUCGGAAUUACUGGGCGUAAAGUGUGCGCAGGUGGCCGCGCAAGUCGAGUGUGAAAUCCCCGAGCUUAACUUGGGAAUUGCGCUCGAAACUACGUGGCUCGAGUGUGGCAGAGGAAGGUGGAAUUCCACGUGUAGCGGUGAAAUGCGUAGAGAUGUGGAGGAAUACCGAUGGCGAAGGCAGCCUCCUGGGCCAACACUGACGCUCAUGCACGAAAGCGUGGGGAGCAAACAGG